rnacentral:piRNA from 1 species
UGGAAUACACUAUUGAGGUAUAUGUGCCAA